rnacentral:sRNA from 1 species
ACUACCGGGAUCUGCCCGAUUGGCUUGC